GUCUUCUGAGGGGCGGGUCGUGGGCGGGGCCUGGAGGCGGAACCGGCGCCGUCAGUAGUAGGCUGAGGACGGAGGCGGGGCUGGGUCUGGGAGGGGGCGGGGCCUGCGCUGGUGGGGCGCGGGGGGAGGAGACACGGCCUAGUGCCCCAGUGCGGGCCGUUGGUUGGUGCGCGGCUGAGGGGUGUGGCGCGAGCAGCGCCGUUGGUUGGCCUGCGGCAGGCCGGGACGGGCAUGGCCCUGCUGCUGUGCCUGGUGGGACUGACGGCGGCGCUGGCCCACGGCUGUCUGCACUGCCACAGCAACUUCUCCGAGAAGUUCUCCUUCUACCGCAACCAUGUGAACUUCAAGUCCUGGUGGGUGGGCGACAUCCCAGUGUCAGGGGUGCUGCUCACCGACUGGAGCGACGACACGAUGAAGGAGCUGCACCUGGCCAUCCCCGCCGAGAUCACCCGGGAGAAGCUGGACCAAGUGGCGACAGCAGUGUACCAGAUGAUGGAUCAGCUGUACCAGGGGAAGAUGUACUUCCCGGGGUAUUUCCCCAACGAGCUGCGAAACAUCUUCCGCGAGCAGGUGCACCUCAUCCAGAACGCCAUCAUCGAAAGCCGCAUCGACUGUCAGCACCACUGUGGCAUCUUCCAGUACGAGACCAUCUCCUGCAACGACUGCACAGACUCACACGUCACCUGCUUUGGCUAUAACUGCGAGUCCUCGGAGCAGUGGGAGUCAGCUGUCCAGGGCCUCCUGAACUACAUACAUAACUGGCACAAGUAAGUCCCCUCCUCAAACCGCACACAGGCAGUGUGCGUAUGUCAGCACCUCGUGGACAGGACACGAGCAUGAGGUAAGGCCGCCCUGACCUGGCCUUCAGGGGGAGGGGGUAAAGGGAGAGAGGAGGGGGGCACCGCAGGUGGGGCUCUCCCUAUACCUGGGACACCUGCUGGAUGUCACCUCUGCAACCACACCCAUGUGGUGGUUUUCAUGAACAAAUCACGCUCCUCCUCCUUCUCCUGGCCUGGGACACACAGAGCCACCCCAGCCUUGUGAGUGACUCAGAGAAGGGAGGCCUCGGGAGACGGGGUGCUCCUAAGCCAACACCAGCGUGCCGCGGCCCCCACACCCUUCUGAAAUCCCAGGCACGCGGGUGUCGUGGAUGUGGCCACACAUAGGACCACACAUCCCAACUGGGAGAAGAGGCCUGGGGCCCCCCAGCAAAGACCCCCAGGGAGGCAGGGGGUGAGGGACGUGGAGAGCUGAGGCAGCCUCGUCUCCCCACAGCCUGGUAUCGCCAGCCUUAAGGUGUCUGGAGUCCCCACACCAGGCCAACCUGACCUUGGAAGAUGCUGCCGAGUGUCUCAAGCAGCACUGACGGCAGCUGGGCCUGCCCCAGGGCAACGUGGGGGCGGGGACUCCGCUGGACAGCCCCCGCCUGUCCCUCUGGAGCUGGGCUGCUGCUGCCUCAGGACCCCCCCUCCACCCCCGGACACAGCGGAGCUGGCCAGGGCCGGGAGGCAAGAGGGAGGGAAUGGGGGUGGGCUGUGCGCAGGUCCGCAGAGCUGCGGGAUGUGAUGAUUAAAGUCCCUGAUGUUUCUCUUU